rnacentral:rRNA from 1 species
UACGUAGGGUGCGAGCGUUGUCCGGAAUUAUUGGGCGUAAAGAGCUCGUAGGCGGCUUGUCGCGUCGGAUGCGAAAGCCCGGGGCUUAACUCCGGGUCUGCAUUCGAUACGGGCAGGCUAGAGUUCGGUAGGGGAGAUCGGAAUUCCUGGUGUAGCGGUGAAAUGCGCAGAUAUCAGGAGGAACACCGGUGGCGAAGGCGGAUCUCUGGGCCGAUACUGACGCUGAGGAGCGAAAGCGUGGGGAGCGAACAGG